rnacentral:rRNA from 1 species
AGUGAACGCUGGCGGUAGGCCUAACACAUGCAAGUCGAACGGCAGCACAGGAGAGCUUGCUCUCUGGGUGGCGAGUGGCGGACGGGUGAGGAAUACAUCGGAAUCUACUCUGUCGUGGGGGAUAACGUAGGGAAACUUACGCUAAUACCGCACACGACCUACGGGUGAAAGCAGGGGACCUUCGGGCCUUGAGCGAUUGAAUGAGCCGAUGUCGGAUUAGCUAGUUGGCGGGGUAAAGGCCCACCAAGGCGUCGAUCCGUAGCUGGUCUGAGAGGAUGAUCAGCCACACUGGAACUGAGACACGGUCCAGACUCCUACGGGAGGCAGCAGUGGGGAAUAUUGGACAAUGGGCGCAAGCCUGAUCCAGCCAUACCGCGUGGGCGAAGAAGGCCUUCGGGUUGUAAAGCCCUUUUGUUGGGAAAGAAAUCCAGCUGGCUAAUACCCGGUUGGGAUGACGGUACCCAAAGAAUAAGCACCGGCUAACUUCGUGCCAGCCGCCGCGGUAA